GUCGAAGGUGGGGCUGAUGACUGGGGUGAAGUCGUAACAAGGUAUCCGUACCGGAAGGUGCGGAUGGAUCACCUCCUAACAGGGAGACAAACAACGAUUUUGAUGCCUGAGUGUUUUUAUUCUUAGGCCGAAAUCCUGUCACCUUAGGUCGAUCGGUACCUCAGAUUUGAAAUCAAGAUGAUGCAGCAAUGUGUCGUGCUUGAUGGAGAUUUUCAGUUCCUAAACUUUGUCUAGGUCACACCCCAAAAGGGAUGAGACUCCUGGGCCAUUAGCUCAGGUGGUUAGAGCGCACCCCUGAUAAGGGUGAGGUCCCUGGUUCAAGUCCAGGAUGGCCCAUUCGGUGUUGGGGGUUUAGCUCAGUUGGUAGAGCGCCUGCUUUGCAAGCAGGAUGUCAGGAGUUCGAGUCUCCUAACCUCCACUGACCGAACUUUAUCCCCGUCUCCAAUUUGUUGGAGUCGAGCUCGAUUGAUGUGUGAUUUAGAUGUGUCCGCUGGAUGACCCCAGCUUCCUGUCAUUCCAAGUUUUUAAGUUUAAAGCUUUAAAUUUGGUUGAUAAGAUGCUGGGCUCGAACUGAGAAAUCAGUUUGAAGUUCUAGCAGAACCUUGACAACUGCAUAGGUGAAGUCUGGAAAAACAAAGCAUCUUACAGAUGCAUUGUUUUGAGUCUGAUCUUUCGAAAGAGAGAUUAGAACCAGAACAAUGAAAAUUCUUUUGAGCAAGAGCCGAGACUCUUGAAUGUUCUUUGAUUCGUGUCGAGCGAAUCAGAGUUUGAUCUUGUUUUUAGCAAUAAAAACUUGAGAAUCUGCUUUCAACGGCGGUAAGCGUUCAAGAGGUUAAUUGGUCAAGCUACAAAGGGCUCACGGC
rnacentral:misc_RNA from 1 species